CUCUAAAUCCACAGGGGGCCAUGGCUCAUGCAAAAGUCUAAUGGCGCCGGUGCCCUGGUCAUUGAUAGUGCAGGGAGACGAAUUGCCGAAAGCCUUUCCCCGUGUUUGGAGGGUCCAUCCUGUCCCUUGCAAACCCUGGCGCUUUCGCACA